CCUACGGGUGGCAGCAGUGAGGAAUAUUGGUCAAUGGGCGCAGGCCUGAACCAGCCAAGUCGCGUGAGGGAUGACGGUCCUACGGAUUGUAAACCUCUUUUGUCGGGGAGUAACGUGCGGGACGCGUCCCGUAUUGAGAGUACCCGAAGAAAAAGCAUCGGCUAACUCCGUGCCAGCAGCCGCGGUAAUACGGAGGAUGCGAGCGUUAUCCGGAUUUAUUGGGUUUAAAGGGUGCGCAGGCGGCGCGCCAAGUCAGCGGUCAAAGUUCCGGGCUCAACCCGGUGUCGCCGUUGAAACUGGCGUGCUCGAGUGCGUGCGAGGAAGGCGGAAUGCGUUGUGUAGCGGUGAAAUGCAUAGAUAUGACGCAGAACUCUGAUUGCGAAGGCAGCUUUCCAGCGCGCUACUGACGCUGAGGCACGAAAGCGUGGGGAUCGAACAGGAUUAGAUACCCUGGUAGUC
rnacentral:rRNA from 1 species